rnacentral:rRNA from 1 species
UACGAAGGGGGCUAGCGUUGCUCGGAAUCACUGGGCGUAAAGGGCGCGUAGGCGGACUUUUAAGUCGGGGGUGAAAGCCCAGGGCUCAACCCUGGAAUUGCCUUCGAUACUGAGAGUCUUGAGUUCGGAAGAGGUUGGUGGAACUGCGAGUGUAGAGGUGAAAUUCGUAGAUAUUCGCAAGAACACCAGUGGCGAAGGCGGCCAACUGGUCCGAUACUGACGCUGAGGCGGCGAAAAGCGUGGGGAG